UACGUAGGGUGCGAGCGUUGCCCGGAUUUAUUGGGCGUAAAGGGCGCGUAGGCGGUCACGCACGUCCGUUGUGAAAUCGCUCGGCUCAACUGGGCGGGGUCAGCGGAUACGGCGUGGCUGGAGCAAGCUAGGGGGCAAUGGAAUUCCCGGUGUAGUGGUGGAAUGCGUAGAUAUCGGGGAGGAACACCAGUGGCGAAGGCGACUACCUGGCCUGUUCUUGACGCUGAGGCGCGAAAGCUAGGGGAGCAAAGCGGG
rnacentral:rRNA from 1 species